GAAAGUUGUUCAUUAUAGGAGGGAUGAAUGUUAUUUAUUUGAUGUGAUUCAAAGGCUGGAAAUGACUUUUUCAUUGUGGCGCCUUUUGUAAUGGGUGCAGGGUGAUCUAAUCUUUUUAAUUUUGGCUUUCACACCAGUGGAGAUGAAAAGAGAUCUGAACUCAUUUAUCGGUUGCUAGGUCCUUCCGGAGACCCAAGUCCUGUUCUUGGUUGCUAUGGCCAGUCUGACCUCAAUCUCUGUGGUUUUGGGGACUUAAGCAGUCUUUUUUUUUUUUUUUAUUGAGGAACGUGUACCUUGAUUUAUGUCCAAAAUUGUGGCUGAAUGUCUUUGUCUGCAUGUGAUAAAUGGUGCCGAACAAUUCAUCAGUUCUUACAAGUAAACACCGCUGUCCCACUAAAAAUAUGUUUUGUUCUGAGUUAAUGGUAUGGAACAAGGCAGCCUCCACAAACAGCUAUCUUUUAUUGUGGAGGGGCCUCUGAAACUUGGAGCAAAGUGGAGGAAAUUGGCAUUCAUUUUCUUGUGCAUUAGCAUUUCAUUUGUGAUUUGGAUGAUGCGGCUUUAGGUGGAUUGUGGAAGAGAGGCCAGCACUGAGUAUCUUCAGGAAAAACGGUUUCCGUCAGAAGUGGCAUCCUCCUCAAAAUGAAAGCCUCUAUUCUCUGCAAGAUCUUCCCAUCUAUUCCAACUGUGUCAAACUAUGGCAUAAACAGAAGAAAACAACAAUAGACUGUACAUGUCACUCACGUUGGCUGAGAGAUCAGCUGAGAAAGCAAGAAUUGGAAGAUGGAGGAAUAGAUGUACCAUCAUUUGAAAAAGUACUCUUCUCUUUCAAGCUGUAUAUAACUUAUCCAUUGUAAACUAAGACUAUUAAUAGUAAUAAUUAUAACAACACUUUAUUUUUGUCUAAUGCCAUAUAACUUACAAAGUCUUCCUCAAGUUUUCAUUUAUUUCUUUUUUGUCAGUCCCAUCAAUUAGUCAGGAUACAGCUUAUUAUUUUCUC
rnacentral:lncRNA from 1 species